rnacentral:tRNA from 2 species
GGGGAUGUAGCUCAAUGGUAGAGCCUCAGUUUUCCAAACUGAUCACGCGGGUUCGAUUCCCGUCAUCCCCU